rnacentral:rRNA from 1 species
UACGGAGGGUGCUAGCGUUGUUCGGAAUUACUGGGCGUAAAGCGCGUGUAGGCGGCCUUGUAAGUCGGAUGUGAAAUCCCUCGGCUCAACCGAGGAAUUGCAUCCGAUACUGCAGGGCUUGGGUCUCGGAGAGGGUUGUGGAAUUCCCGGUGUAGAGGUGAAAUUCGUAGAUAUCGGGAGGAAGACCAGUGGCGAAGGCGACAACCUGGACGAAGACUGACGCUGAGACGCGAAAGCGUGGGGAGCAAACAGGAUUAGAUACCCUGGUAGUCCACGCCGCAAACGGUGUUCACUAGGUGUUGUGGGUAUUGACCCCCGCAGUGCCGCAGCUAACGCAUUAAGUGAACCGCCUGGGGAGUACGGUCGCAAGAUUAAA